AAAGAUAUAGCAUAUUCUUCUGAAUAUACUUUAUUAACCCAUUCCGAGUACCUUACCCGUUGCUUCCGCGAGGCUGUCCUCACGGCCCUCUGAAGAUUUAUCUUUGGGGAGUCCUUGCGGAAGGUAUACAAUAAGCUCUUGCAUUACCAUGUCAUCUGUCUGAAUCUGCUUAAAACAAAUAUUA
rnacentral:misc_RNA from 1 species